UCCGACGUCCGAUCGAGGCGAUUCCGGUGGCGUUGGAAAGCUUGUUCCGAGAGCUUUCUUUUGACACCAAUUUUGAAGCAAAUGGAGGUCGGAUGAGUGAGAUAUGGAGGAGAGAAGUUUUGGGUUUUUCAAGCUUUUUCGUCAGAUCUACGACGAUCCGACCGUUGGAUCGACGAUCCGAGACCACAUAUGGACUGAGGAAGAGGAGAGGAACAUGGUGGUAUGAUCAGAUCCGGCAAAUGUCGCCGGCGGCCGGCCACCGUGCGCGGUGGUUCCGGCGGUGGCUCCGGUGGGCUAUGGAGAUGAUUCAACUUCCAGAGGCUUCCUCAUAAAUUUUUGGAAUUUUUGAGACACAGAUAAACUUCGGGUGAUCGAGGUCAGCUAUUUUCCUGCAUCCAGCAGCCACAAUAGUCAUCGGUGUACUGCUACAGGAGGAGACAUUUUUUUUAAUAACCUGUCCCUUUUCUCUCAGGUUAUGAAAAGACUACUUAAUUAUAUUAUUAUUCUCUAAAUUUGUAAUUUAGGACUCCGCAUGUGCUAGUAGUAGCAUUAAGCCUGUCAGGGACUGUAUGAAUUCAAGUUUUCGUAUUAAUAAAUGAAAAGAA